GAUGGAACUUCCGCCUGCCAUGUGACCGGCGGGUGUUCUACAAGGGCUGACCAGUGGGCGGGACAGAACGCAAAGGGCGAUAUUAAAAGCCGGACUCUUCCGGUGAAGCGGAGGUGUGGUGGGGCUUGCUGGGAUCAUGGCGGGGAAUCACUGCGAGCUCCUGCCGCUGGCCCGUGGCAGGCUCGGGGCGGGGUUGGGGUGGCUUCUUGUGCCUCCCUUAAAGCGCGGGGCUCAGCGUCCUGGCCCAGCGCCCCAGCAGCAGGUCCAAGUGGGUCCGGCUCUACAGCGGCGGCACCUACUUCCUCACCACUGGGCAGACGCCGCUGUGUCAGGACCCGAAAUCCUUCCUGUACCUCUUGAGCCAGGCCGACCCCGACCCGGACUCGGACAAGACGGAGUUUUGUUCUUGUUGCCCAAGCUGGAGUACAAUGGCACAAUCUUGGCUCACCACAACCUCUGCCACCUGGGUUCAAGCGAGUCUCCUCCUUCAGUCUCCUGAGUAGCUGGGAUUACAGGCAUGCACCACCACACACAGCUAAGUUUUAUAUUUUUAGUAGAGAUGGUUUCACCAUGUUGGCCAGGCCAGUCUCAAACUCCUGACCUCGUGAUCCGCCCACCUUGGCCUCCCAAAGUGCUGGGAUUACAGGUGUGAGCCACCACACCCAGCCAAUUAGGGCUGUCUUACAAAAAAAAAAACCACCACGAACCUUUGCGAGAAUCGAGCGCAGCCUGUGCUGGUUGUGUAAGCCGUGGGACACACGGGAAAGCCAGGAAGAAGAGGAAGAGCACCCCCACACCCCACCCGCGUGAAGAAGAGCAACCCCACUCCCCGCCCGUGGGAAGAAGAGCACCCUCACGCCGGGCCCGCAGGAAGAAGAGCACCCCCACGCCCGGCCCGCAGCAUCCCGCUGGCUUCCUGGCCACCUCUCCUCACCCAUCUUAGAGGCAUGGCCGGGCUGGGGCAUCUUUCCCUCCUUGGGCAGGAUGAAACAGGCGCCUAUUUAAUCGACAGAGACCCCACCUACUUUGGGCCUGUGCUGAACUACCUGAGACACGGCAAGCUGGUGAUUAACAAAGACCUCGCGGAGGAAGAUGAUACCACGAGUCAACCCAAAAGUUGCUGGGGAGAAGUUGCUCUUUAAUGAAUUGCAUCUCAUGAAUGUAUCAGGCUGUGACCUUUCUGCACUCUCUAAUGAGUUCAUGAAUUUAGGCCAAUUAUGGCCACAAAUGCUGCUGCUGUCACAGAGAGAUGCCGGAUAAAGAACACCCACCACCAGUCUCUGAACAGGGAGGGGAGAAUCAACUCUGAAUGUGAUGUAGUGGCCAGGAGAGAGGACCAUGUUCAACAACGCCACACAGAUGCAAAUGACUUGUUUCUUCAACAAACUGCAAGGGAAAAAAUAAAAAUGGGGGAAGCUACAGAUUAAAAUACAUGUGUUUGGAUAGGAGAGUAUUUAAUGGCAAAAGAAAAAGAAAAAAUUUAAAAAUGAAAUUGUGCAAAACUUAUUUGAAUCCUGUUCAAGUGAGCAACAAAACAUUAUGAUGUACAUGAGACAACUGGAAAUAUAACUCUGACUGGACACUUUGAGAUAUUAAGCAAUUACCGUUCAUUUUUACAUAUCAAACAGUAUGGUAUUGUGGUUACGCUUUUAAAAAGAUUUGUAUUUUAGCGACACAUACUGGAAUUUUUACAGGGAAAACCCACUGAGGAUGCUGGGCAUCAGGUCACUAGCACCGAGUGAAUUUUUUACAAUAAGCAGUAAUUCUCCCCAGCCCCAUGCAUCAUAGCCAAUCCUAAAUGAAUGCCAAUCUGGAAAAGACCAAAAUAAACCACGUGAAGAUGGGAAGAGCUGCUCUUGGUGAUGGGAGAAUGGGGACUCUCUCUUUUAUUGUGCAAACUCCACUUUCCAUCAUGCAGGAAAAUCCGUCUUGAAGGCAGCUCCUCUCUGUGCCGGGGGUGGGUGAUCCAGCCUAAGCUAGAAUGGCGGCAAGCUCAAGGCAGCUGUGGCCCUCAGGAGAGCGUCUGGAGUCCACAGCACAGUGGGAAGCGCAACGGCAGCUAGUCUGAGGGUCUGGACGAUGGCCAUGCACAGAUGAGGACAGAGGAGCCACUGUAGUGACUGAAGCCCACGGCAUCCACCCUCUCCAGCCAGCCCCGCCCACACCUGAAGCCCACAGCGUCCACCCUGUCCACCCAGCCCUGCCCACACCUGUGGCCUUCCUCUCCUUCCUGUUUGGUGAGUGCUGCCUCCACACCUGGCUGCAUGCCAGAAAGGCCUGCACAGGUCAGAACACAGGUUUCCAAACCCUACUCCAAGUCUGAACCUCCAAGGACACCCCGAGCUCCCCAAGGUUCUUGCAUAGAGGGCACAGGCCAGAGACAGCCCAGGUGGGAAGCUUACUCUGAGUCAGCUGCCCUCACCAAGAUACAUCCACAGGCUCCUGUACAAGGAGAGGAGGCAGAAGUCCCUCUCUGCCAGGAGGUCCUCCUCAAUCUCCCAAGCCCACACCACUGCCCUGCUCCAUCUCCCACCACCUCCCCCUGCAGAUACGGGGGCCACCCUACCCACCCCACAGGAACGAUGGGAAAACCUGCCUCCCUCUAGGAGGAGGGCGUGGCACAGCUGCUGCGCGGGUAAGGAACCUCGCUAUGCCUUGCUCCCAUCAACACUUUUAUUCUAGAUUUGAAGGUGUUUUGGGGAAGCCAUCUCUGCACAAAAGAAGUCAACGCAGGAAUAAAUUCCAAGAUACUGAACUACCUC
ensembl:lncRNA novel transcript